AUUGAACGAGAGAGGGAGGAGGGAAAGAGGAAAGUCGAAAGGCAGCGCGGACUUCGGGGUGGAGGCGAGUGGCGAACGGGUGAGUAAUGUAUCGGAACGUGCCCAGUAGCGGGGGAUAACUACGCGAAAGCGUAGCUAAUACCGCAUACGCCCUACGGGGGAAAGCAGGGGAUCGUAAGACCUUGCACUAUUGGAGCGGCCGAUAUCGGAUUAGCUAGUUGGUGAGGUAACGGCUAACCAAGGCGACGAUCCGUAGCUGGUUUGAGAGGACGACCAGCCACACUGGGACUGAGACACGGCCCAGACUCCUACGGGAGGCAGCAGUGGGGAAUUUUGGACAAUGGGGGCAACCCUGAUCCAGCCAUCCCGCGUGUGCGAUGCAGGCCUUCGGGUUGUAACUCCCUUUUGGCCGGAAAGAAACGUCGCGGGCUCCUACCCCGUGGAACUGACGGUACCUGCAGACUAAGCCCCUCCUCCCUACGUC
rnacentral:rRNA from 1 species